rnacentral:rRNA from 1 species
AACGACGCUGGCGGCACGCCUCAUACAUGCAAGUCGAGCGCGAAACACCUUCGGGUGAUGUAGAGCGGCGAACGGGUGAGUAACAGGUGGGUAAUCUGCCCUUUGGCGGGGGACAACAGCUGGAAACGGCUGCUAAUACCGCAUGUGAUUGUGGACUUAUGGUCUGCAAGGAAAGGCGCCUCAAAGCGCCACCAAAGGAUGAGCCCGCCCCCAUUAGCUAGUUGGUGAGAUAACAGCUCACCAAGGCAUCGAUGGGUAGCCGAGCUGAGAGGUUGAUCGGCCACACUGGAACUGAGACACGGUCCAGACACCUACGGGUGGCAGCAGUAGGGAAUAUUGCGCAAUGGGCGAAAGCCUGACGCAGCGAUGCCGCGUGAGUGACGAAGGUCUUAGGAUUGUAAAGCUCUUUUCUGAGGGAAGAAUAGGUCUGGUAGGAAAUGACUGGAUUCUGACGGUACCUCAGGAAUAAGGAACGGCUAACUCCGUG